rnacentral:rRNA from 1 species
AGAGUUUGAUCAUGGCUCAGAACGAACGCUGGCGGCAGGCCUAACACAUGCAAGUCGAGCGCGCCCUUCGGGGUGAGCGGCGGACGGGUUAGUAACGCGUGGGAAUAUACCCGACACUAAGGAAUAGCCUCUGGAAACGGAGAGUAAUACCUUAUACGCCCUUCGGGGGAAAGAUUUAUCGGUGACGGAUUAGCCCGCGUUAGAUUAGAUAGUUGGUGGGGUAAUGGCCUACCAAGUCUACGAUCUAUAGCUGGUUUUAGAGGAUGAUCAGCAACACUGGGACUGAGACACGGCCCAGACUCCUACGGGAGGCAGCAGUGGGGAAUCUUGGACAAUGGGCGCAAGCCUGAUCCAGCCAUGCCGCGUGAGUGAUGAAGGCCUUAGGGUCGUAAAGCUCUUUCGCCAGAGAUGAUAAUGACAGUAUCUGGUAAAGAAACCCCGGCUAACUCCGUGCCAGCAGCCGCGGUAAUACGGAGGGGGUUAGCGUUGUUCGGAAUUACUGGGCGUAAAGCGCGCGUAGGCGGAUUAGUAAGUUAGAGGUGAAAUCCCGGGGCUCAACCCCGGAACUGCCUUUAAUACUGCUAGUCUUGAGUUCGAGAGAGGUGAGUGGAAUUCCGAGUGUAGAGGUGAAAUUCGUAGAUAUUCGGAGGAACACCAGUGGCGAAGGCGGCUCACUGGCUCGAUACUGACGCUGAGGUGCG